UUCUCAAGUCACGUGACAGCAUUUGAGGUCACUGCGGAACAUGAUACAACACGGUGUUUCCAGAGUCGCAUGUAAUCCUGCCAUGUGUAGACGCGAAGACAGACAAUGAGCAGCGGAACAGAGAUCAGCCUCAUCCCCGGAGAAGGAACUCAAGCAACGGACGCUGCACCCGAUACACUUGAACCUCAGGGGAGACUGUUACCGACGAUUUCUGAUCAUCCUCCGUCUACUUCACAACAGGGAGUCAUCGCAACCGAAACUCAGACAUUCUGGCUCCAGUGGGUUGAGGCCGCGUUCCCUGAUCUCGAGUCACAGGCCUACUUCCUGCCUCCUGUCUACGUCAACCGCGUGCCUAUGACCAGCAGUCUGUUGGUGGUCAGGAUGUUUGGGUUCUUCAGCAUGCACCCGGACAAGCUUGUCAGUCCAUGGAGCCAGCGACAACUCCACCAGUUGUUUCCAUUUCUCAGCCUUUUCUCGUUCAGGACAGUGACACCAGAGAUGAUGCAGCCAUGCAGCGGGUACUCCUCCAUCUUCAGAGAUUGUUUG